GAUGAAGAACGUAGCGAAAUGCGAUACGUAGUGUGAAUUGCAGAAUUCAGUGAAUCAUCGAAUCUUUGAACGCACAUUGCACCUCUCGGUAUUCCGGGAGGUAUGCCUGUUCGAGAGUCAUUUGUACCCUCAAGCUCUGCUUGGUGUUGGGUGUUUGUUCCGCCUCUGUGUGUGAACUCGCCUCAAAACAAUUGGCAGCCGGCGUACUUGUUUCGGAGCGCAGCACAUUUUGCGAUCCAGAUCAACGUACAGCGGCAUCCAAGAAGCCUUAUUUAACGCUCUUGACCUCGGAUCAGGUAGGGAUACCCGCUGAACUUAAGCAUAUCAAUAAGCGGAGGA
rnacentral:misc_RNA from 1 species